UCCAGCUUGAUGAUUCUGUGAUUCUAUUAAAUCUGCUGAGACCAUUCAGAGAAAAGAGAAUAAAAAAGAGAAAAAGGCAGAAAAAAGUUUUACAAGCAGUCUGGUAACCUGCCUACACAGAUUAUCUACAUUUAUACCACAAGUGGGCUUGGGCUAGAAAGGAGGAGAAAAGGAAGGAAAACCACUGCAGGAGGAAUCUUUGCAAGGGAUGUCAGGAAUACAUAAACUAAAGCAGAAUGAAAGGAGAAAAUGGAAGGAUAAACAAGAGAGAGAAAUUAAUGAUAAGGAGCUGCUGUCCUAACUGAGGUCCUCUCCAUUGCCACACUGUGUGGAGGGGAUAUUAAAUAUGCAAGACAGAAAUUAACUAGAUAGAGCAAGAUACAAGGAGAAGAAGCAUGCAACUUCAGUGCUUUGGCAAAGAUGAGAGAGAGAAAAACAGUAUCUAAAAACCUCAUAUGCUAAUAGUCAAUAAAAUAGAUCUCUUGUUUUUCCUGGUUUGUUCU
rnacentral:lncRNA from 1 species